ACCAAUUUAGCGAGCAUGGAGGAAACGUAUGUUACUUGUGUUUACUUAGUAUUUUAAAGGCGAAUAAGGAGGAAGCGUAACGGGCUGGUGAGUGGUCCAAUAUGCGGGCCUUGGCUUCUAACUCUGCUUAUUGGUGAAUCUUAUGUAUUGUAAAUCCCGCAUUUUUUUAGUCGAUCCUUUGUCGAUCAAGCUGCACGCGAGCUCACUAAAAAUCAAAAUAGCAGAAUGCACUGCUCUAGCAUGUACAGUGUCCCAGUAGAUGUAAAAAGAAAGCGUACGUAGUUAUGUAAUUCCAGAUUGCCAUAGGCAU